rnacentral:tRNA from 1 species
GCAUUGUUAGCUCAGAUGGACAGAGCGUUGCCCUCCGCAGGCAAAGGUCACUGGUUCGAAUCCAGUACAGUGUACCA